rnacentral:tRNA from 1 species
GUCCCCUUCGUCUAGCGGCCUAGGACAUCGCCCUCUCACGGCGAAAACACGGGUUCGAGUCCCGUAGGGGACGCCA